ensembl:lncRNA
GUCAAUGAAGCCUCCAACAAAAUGAACCAAAUCUAAACCAUAACAGUCCUUCAGCCUUCCACCACCCUUCCUGUCCCUUCAGUGCUGGCCCAUCCUUGGAGCUGGGCUAGAUGACCGACUUCCACCAUGAAGGGGAAGCUGCCUACCUAGGAAGCAAAGAGAGAUGGAAAUGAAGACCACGACUGAGGACCAAGCUUUCAACACAUGGGCCAUUAGGGGACAGCUGGUUUUAACCUCAACAUAAAACAGGGGCCCUUUCCCCAGAGCCCCUUCCACUUCCCACCUGCCUCUUCCCACAGUUCCUCCUCCUGAGGUCCUGACCAUCUUCAGAGAUUUAAACAUUUAAAGAGUAGUAAAGGAAGAGGUGAUUAAGACCCAGACUCACACAGGUGACCGUGUGAAGACACAAGGAGAAG